GUAAACCAGCACCUCAAGUGUCAGGAUGAUUAUUGGCUAAAGCAUCCGUAGCCGGCUCUGUAAGUUUUCGGUUAAAUCCACGUGCUCAACACAUGGGCUGCCGAAAAUACUGCACAGCUAGGGAGUGGGAGAGGUAGACGUACUCAAUAGGAAGGGGUAAAAUCCUUUGAUCUAUUGAUGACCACCUGUGGCGAAGGCGGUCUACCAGAACACGUUCGACGGUGAGGGAUGAAAGCUGGGGGAGCAAACCGGAUUAGAUACCCGGGUAGUCCCAGCUGUAAACGAUGCAGACUCGAUGAUGCAUUGGCAUAUAGCCAGUGCAGUGUCGCAGGGAAGCCGUUAAGUCUGCCGCCUGGGAAGUACGUACGCAAGUAUGAAACUUAAAGGAAUUGGCGGGGGAGCACCACAAGGGGUGAAGCCUGCGGUUCAAUUGGAGUCAACGCCAGAAAUCUUACCCGGAGAGACAGCAGAAUGAAGGUCAAGCUGAAGACUUUACCAGACAAGCUGAGAGGUGGUGCAUGGCCGUCGCCAGCUCGUGCCGUGAGAUGUCCUGUUAAGUCAGGUAACGAGCGAGAUCCCUGCCACUAGUUGCUAUCAUUAUUCUCAGGAAUAGUGGGGCGAAUUAGUGGGACUGCCGUUGUUAAAACGGAGGAAGGAAGGGGCUACGGCAGGUCAGUAUGCCCCGAAACUCUGGGGCCACACGCGGGCUGCAAUGGUAGCGACAAUGAGCUCCAAACUCGAAAGAGAGUGGCAAUCUCUAAACGCUACCACAGUUAUGACUGAGGGCUGUAACUCGCCCUCACGAAUAUGGAAUCCCUAGUAACCGCGUGUCAUUACCGCGCGGUGAAUACGUCCCUGCUCCUUGCACACACCGCCCGUCGUUUCAUCGAAAUUUGCUUUUAGACGAGGUGAUGGUAAUGACAUAAUCGACUGAGAUGAGAG
rnacentral:rRNA from 1 species